rnacentral:rRNA from 1 species
GAUGAACGCUAGCGAUAGGCUUAACACAUGCAAGUCGAGGGACCGGCGCACGGGUGCGUAACGCGUAUGCAACUUGCCUCACAGAGGGGGAUAACCCGUCGAAAGACGGACUAAUACCGCGUACUGUGAGAUAGUUAUGCGUCCAAUUAGCUAGUUGGUGAGGUAACGGCACAACAAGGCAACGAGGGGUAGGGGAACUGAGAAGGUGAACCCCCACACUGGUAAUGGGACACGGACCAGACUCCUACGGGGGGCAGCAGUGAGGAAUAUUGGUCAAUGGGCGAGAGCCUGAACCAGCCAAGUCGCGGGAAGGAUGACUGGCUAUGGAUUGUAAACUUCUUUUGUAGGGGAAUAUGUACCCUACGAAUAAGCAUCGGCUAACUCCGUGCCAGCCGCCGCGGUAAUAC